AGGGCUGUAGCUCAGUGGUAGAGUGCUUGCCUAGCAUGCAUGAGGCACUGGGUUCAAUGCUCAGCACCACAU
rnacentral:tRNA from 1 species